AUUGAACGCUGGCGGCAUGCCUUACACAUGCAAGUCGAACGGCAGCACGGGGCAACCUGGUGGCGAGUGGCGAACGGGUGAGUAAUGCAUCGGAACGUACCUUUCAGUGGGGGAUAACGCAGCGAAAGUUACGCUAAUACCGCAUAUUCUGUGAGCAGGAAAGCAGGGGAUCGCAAGACCUUGCGCUGAUUGAGCGGCCGAUGUCAGAUUAGCUAGUUGGUGAGGUAAAGGCUCACCAAGGCGACGAUCUGUAGCGGGUCUGAGAGGAUGAUCCGCCACACUGGGACUGAGACACGGCCCAGACUCCUACGGGAGGCAGCAGUGGGGAAUUUUGGACAAUGGGGGCAACCCUGAUCCAGCCAUGCCGCGUGAGUGAAGAAGGCCUUCGGGUUGUAAAGCUCUUUCGGCCGGGAAGAAAUCGCACAGGCUAAUACCUUGUGUGGAUGACGGUACCGGAAUAAGAAGCACCGGCUAACUACGUGCCAGCCGCCGCGGUAAAAC
rnacentral:rRNA from 1 species